GAGACCCACGCCCACAGUUGCCAGCGUACUCUCCGGAGUGACGGGUACACUGUGGGGACCGCCGCUGCUAAAGCGGAGGAAGGAAUGGGCAACGGUAGGUCAGUAUGCCCCGAAUGCCCCGGGCUACACGCGAGCUACAAUGACUGGUACAAUGGGUAUCUACCCCGAAAGGGGAUGGAAAUCUCCUAAAGCCAGCCUUAGUUCGGAUCGAGGGCUGUAACUCGCCCUCGUGAAGCUGGAAUCCGUAGUAAUCGCAUAUCAACAGUAUGCGGUGAAUAC
rnacentral:rRNA from 1 species